rnacentral:lncRNA from 1 species
UCAUAUGGCAUCAAAUAAAUGGUAGCUCCUGAAUCACAUAAUGCCUUUUCAACUGAAAAAUCACUUAAGUGACAUGGUAUAGUAAACUUACAUGGAUCCUUCAACUUUUGUGGCAUCUUAUUUUGUAGAAUAUGUGGGCAUUCCUCAUUAAGCAUCACCAUGGCCAUGUCUUCCAACUUCCUCUUAUUGGAGAGAAUCUCCUUUACGAACUUUGCGUAGCUAGGCAUUUGUUUUAAAGCUUCAAACAAAGAAAUGUUAAUAUGCAAUUGUUUAAAAAUACCUAUAAACUUACUAAAUU